rnacentral:lncRNA from 1 species
AUGGCUUCCCGAGAAGGCGGUGGCUCUUCCGGGGUGAGAUCACAAAUGCACAGCGUGGAAGUGUCCACAAAUGCACAGCGUGGAAGGUCACACCGUGACCACUUGCCAUGCAGCACCCUGGGAGGGAAGGGCUCUCAGGCUCCACUGAUGGGGGGGCCGGCCGCUCCGGGAUGGACCCGCUUUCCACCCCCGCCCCCAGUAGCUUCCACUGAGUCCCCGGCCACCAACUCCCACCCCGCAAAAGGGUUCAUUUUUAAAGAGAAUCCAGAAAUCCAAAUAUCUAUCUGAAAUCCCUUGGUACUUAAACAUUGGACAAUUGGUGAUUAUUUUCCUCUUUUGUAAUCGGCAUAAAAAAUGCCAAACUUCCUUCAGGCAGCGUUUGCAGGCCGCUGAUUUGCAAGUUUGUUCUAAUCAUAAAAGGCCCUCGGUGCCUCACGCAAAAACCGGGGGCAGCCUGUCUCCACUGGUGUAGUGACAAGGGAAAACACUUUCAAACACUUAAAAACAAACAAACAAAAAAAAACAAACAAAAAAGAAAAGUAUAUGAGGGUAUAUUCCAGAGAAGAGGCGGACUGUCACCGUAACAGGACUACAUGUGAUCCAGCUUUCUUCCACCCAGGCUCCUCUACACCUUGAGUCACGGUCCCUCCUCGAGCUAAUUUUCAGGAAUCGCCACUUCGGCACGCGUAUGCCAUGUCCUCAUAUCGAUGGCCUGCCUGGGCCCCACUCCCGUGAGAGGCAAUGAAAUGUUCGCCAAGAAACCUGGGGAGCCAUUUCUACAAAAUACGUUCCAUAGGGUGUGAGCCACACAAAGGGCUUUAAAAAGGUGUGUGGUCCGUCAAAGGAGUUGUUUUUUUCAAGAUUCCCAAUAUACAUAAGCAUGUUACAGGCUCCCAGGGGCUCCGCAUUGAAAGCAAACAAAAGCAGAAAUAUCUGUCCCCUUCGCUUGACCACACGCCUCCCCAGGUCAUUGAACAGAGAGCCCCCCGUUCUCAGCAGCCCUGUGGCCGACCCAACUACGGAUGGGGGUGUGUUUUGCACAGUUUAUAAGCCUCCCCGGCAGCCCGCAAGUCCCCGCAAGCCUCGUGUGGCUGAGUUCCCUUCGUGGGUGGGAGACACCUGCAGGCGGUCCCACUGAGGCAAGAGUCUGGCGGGCUAAAGAAAAUGCCUCUCGUUUGUACUUUUAACAGACCCAAGAUGGGGGCACAGACAGAAAGGAUGUGGGGUGGGCUGGUAACUGCAUUGAGUUUGGUGGCCUAAACUCUCCUGCUAGAAGGCAGAAGGCGUCAGGAUAAAGAGCUAAGGCCCCCCGGACGCCGUGUGCAAGAACCACACUUGAAACAGUUUGAGCUUCCGUGACUGCUCGACAGAGAAACGGCGAGGACUCGGACGCCUGAGAAACACCGCACCCCGCCUCGCCCCGCUGACACAGGUAUCACAGUCAUUCACGGAUUAGGGGAGACCGCCUUCUGGGCUGUAAAACAGGUCUCAGUGAAUUUUAAAGGGCUGAAAUCAUACAGCAUGUGUUUUCUGACACAACAGAAAAGAUAGCUGGGGAAUUGCCACAUAUCUGCAAAUUAAGCAACACACUUCUGAAUAACCCAUGGACUGAAAAAAAAAAAAGAGGGGCUCCCGGGUGGCUCAGUUGGUUAAGGGUCUGACUCUUGAUUUCAGCACAGGUCAUGAUCUCACAGUUUGUGAGAUCGAGCCCAGGUUGGGCUCUGUGCUGACAGAUUCUGUCUCUCUUCUCUCUCUUUUCCUCUCAAAAUAAAUGAAAUGAACAUUUAAAAAGAUCGGAAAGU